rnacentral:rRNA from 1 species
GACGAACGCUGGCGGCGUGCUUAACACAUGCAAGUCGAACGGAAAGGCCCUGCUUUUGUGGGGUGCUCGAGUGGCGAACGGGUGAGUAACACGUGAGUAACCUGCCCUUGACUUUGGGAUAACUUCAGGAAACUGGGGCUAAUACCGGAUAGGAGCUCCUGCUGCAUGGUGGGGGUUGGAAAGUUUCGGCGGUUGAGGAUGGACUCGCGGCUUAUCAGCUUGUUGGUGGGGUAGUGGCUUACCAGGGCUUUGACGGGUAGCCGGCCUGAGAGGGUGACCGGCCACAUUGGGACUGAGAUACGGCCCAGACUCCUACGGGAGGCAGCAGUGGGGAAUAUUGCACAAUGGGCGGAAGCCUGAUGCAGCAACGCCGCGUGCGGGAUGACGGCCUUCGGGUUGUAAACCGCUUUCGCCUGUGACGAAGCGUGAGUGACGGUAAUGGGUAAAGAAGCGCCGGCUAACUACGUG